AAAUAAGAGUGUAGCCGUCAAACGCGCACGUGGAGAAAACAACAUAAACAAAGAGCAACGAUCAACAACAAUCAUCAACAAGCAACCAGAACAAGAACACGGUUAAGCGGUUAGAUUCGUCAUCGCGGUGAAUAAAAAGUGCCUGCUAUCAUUGGUGUACCGGAACCGAAGCCGAUCAAGGACGAUAUCCCGGAUUUGCUCAGUGAAAAGCUUCCAGACAACUGAUUGUGGGUAACACGUAGCAGCAUCGACCGAGCCAGCACUGACAAGAUUCAACCUCUGCUGAAGCAACGGUUGAUGCUAGCGUUGUGCUGAGAGAAGGAAGUAGAGCUCGAAAGAAUAUUUUAAGCUGCGCAAACCAGGUAGUAGGAACACAUACGGAACUGCUGCCCUGGUAUUCACCCAUCCGACGUUGGGAAUUGGAGGUGCAGGAAGAAAGCGACCCCUAGCGGGUGAGUAGCCAAAUUACUGUGCGAAAAAGGAGUUUAUGUAAAGCCAAAAUUAACAAUCGGCAGGUCGUUUUU